AUUGAACGCUGGCGGCAGGCUUAACACAUGCAAGUCGAGCGGAGAUGAGGUGCUUGCACCUUAUCUUAGCGGCGGACGGGUGAGUAAUGCUUAGGAAUCUGCCUAUUAGUGGGGGACAACAUUCCGAAAGGAAUGCUAAUACCGCAUACGUCCUACGGGAGAAAGCAGGGGAUCUUCGGACCUUGCGCUAAUAGAUGAGCCUAAGUCGGAUUAGCUAGUUGGUGGGGUAAAGGCCUACCAAGGCGACGAUCUGUAGCGGGUCUGAGAGGAUGAUCCGCCACACUGGGACGGAGACACGGCCCAGACUCCUACGGGAGGCAGGAGUGGGGAAUAUUGGAAAAUGGGGGGAACCCUGAUCCAGCCAUGCCGCGUGUGUGAAGAAGGCCUUAUGGUUGUAAAGCACUUUAAGCGAGGAGGAGGCUACUGAGACUAAUACUCUUGGAUAGUGGACGUUACUCGCAGAAUAAGCACCGGCUAACUCUGUGCCAGCCGCCGCAGUAACAC
rnacentral:rRNA from 1 species